rnacentral:rRNA from 1 species
GAAACGACUGCUAAGACUGGAUAGGAAACAGAGAGGCAUCUUUUUGUUUUUAAAAGACCUUCUUCGGAGGGUAUGCUUAAAGAGGGGCUUGCGCCACAUUAGUUAGUUGGUGAGGUAAAGGCUUACCAAGAUUAUGAUGUGUAGCUGGACUGAGAGGUUGAACAGCCACAUUGGGACUGAGACACGGCCCAAACUCCUACGGGAGGCAGCAGUAGGGAAUUUUCGGCAAUGGAGGAAACUCUGACCGAGCGACGCCGCGUGAACGAUGAAGUAUUUCGGUAUGUAAAGUUCUUUUAUUGAAGAAGAAAAAAUAGUGGAAAAACUAUCUUGACGUUAUUCAAUGAAUAAGCCCCGGCUAACUAUGUGCCAGCAGCCGCGGUAAGACAUAGGGGGCGAGCGUUAUCCGGAAUUAUUGGGCGUAAAGGGUGCGUAGGCGGUUAGAUAAGUCUAUAAUUUAAUUUCAGUGCUUAACGCUGUCUUGUUAUAGAAACUGUCUUGACUAGAGUGAGAUAGGGGCAAGCGGAAUUCCAUGUGUAGCGGUAAAAUGUGUAAAUAUAUGGAGGAACACCAGAAGCGUAGGGCGGCUUGCUGGGUCUUUACUGACGCUGAGGCACGAAAGCGUGGGGAGCAAACAGGAUUAGAUACCCUGGUAGUCCACGCUGUAAACGAUGAGUACUAAGUGUCGGGGUAACUCGGUACUGAAGUUAACACAUUAAGUACUCCGCCUGAGUAGUACGUACGCAAGUAUGAAACUUAAAGGAAUUGACGGGACUCGCACAAGCGGUGGAUCAUGUGUUUAAUUCGAAGAUACACGAAGAACCUUACCAGGUCUUGACAUACUCUGCG